GCCGGUGUAGCUCAGUUGGUAGAGCAGCGCAUUCGUAAUGCGAAGGUCGGAAGUUCGAGUCUUCUCUCCGGCA
rnacentral:tRNA from 3 species